ACUAGCUGUGAGCCUGUGACCAACCCAUAAAACGAACCGCUCAACUGGAGCAAACGCAAAAGAAGAAAACCCAUAAACGCCCAUACCUAAAACCACAAGGCUUCGCCGGGAAGCUCUUCGUCACUGCGAGUUUAACUAUAAGCCUCGGGAAGAGCUCUCAUCUUUCAUUCAUAUGUUUAUUAGAUCUCUCCUUUAGCAUCUUGGGGGAAACGUUGGGGUAACCAUGCCUGACGUGCAAGCUCUCGUCAAUGAUUUUCUUAACAAGCUUAAGAAGCGGAAGAUCGAGGGCUCUCAGGCCACCUCAAGGCAGACGGCGGAGUUGCUACGGUCGGUAAUUUCACAGCAGCGAGUACCUUAUAACAACCAGGCUGGAGCUUUGAUUGAUGCCGUGAAGGCUGUUGGAGAGCAGCUAAUUGCUGCAAAUCCUGUUGAGCUGGCUGUGGGUAAUAUAGUGAGGCGUGUUUUACACAUUAUUAGGGAGGAGGAUCUUUCUCUGACCACAGCUGCUAUGGCGGGAUUGAACUUAUCAGCUGUAAGUGAUGAUGAGGAUGAUGAGGAACGAGAUGAUCUCCCAGUUUUGUCAGCUGCUGUCGUUGCUGCUGCUGCAAGAAGUACUUUGCGUCCACCUUCCUUGCAGACUCUCCUGGAGGACAUGCCUGACACAGCAGCUAUUCCUCAUACUUCUUCAUCAGGGGGUGAUUCUGAAGGAAAGAGCAAAUCUGCUGAUAAAAGUUCAAGAAGUCGGAAGCUGAAACAUGAUGUCAUUGAAGCAGUUAAUGAGCUUAUACAAGAUAUUACUACUUGUCAUGAACAGAUUGCUGAGCAAGCAGUGGAACAUAUUCAUCAAAAUGAGGUAAUAUUAACUUUAGGCAGUUCAAGAACAGUAUUGGAAUUUCUUUGUGCUGCGAAGGAGAAGAAAAGAUCAUUCAGAGUAUUUGUUGCUGAGGGUGCUCCAAGGUAUCAAGGGCAUCUUCUUGCCAAAGAAUUGGUUGCAAGAGGUUUACAGACCACUUUGAUUACUGAUUCUGCAGUUUUUGCCAUGAUUUCUCGAGUGAACAUGGUUAUAGUGGGAGCUCAUGCUGUCAUGGCUAAUGGUGGCGUUAUAGCACCUGUUGGGUUGAAUAUGGUUGCACUUGCAGCUCAAAAACAUGCUGUUCCAUUUGUUGUGCUUGCUGGUAGUCACAAGCUGUGCCCCUUAUAUCCACACAAUCCUGAGGUCUUACUAAAUGAAUUGAGAUCCCCUUCUGAGCUGCUGGAUUUUGGAGAAUUCUCUGAUUGCUUGGAUUUUAGGAGUGUCACUGGCUCUCCUCUUCUGCAUGUUGUAAAUCCAACAUUUGACUAUGUACCACCGAAGCUUGUUAGUCUGUUCAUCACUGACACCGGAGGGCAUAAUCCUUCAUACAUGUAUCGACUCAUUGCUGAUUAUUAUUCCGCUGAUGAUUUGGUGGUGAAACGAAGAACUACUUCUGGGAAUUGAGUUGCAAUCCUCGCGGGUUUACCAAAUACUAGUAAGUAUUUCUUUCUUUCUGUCUUCCUUUCUUAUUUUGGGCUGUUUAGAAUUACCAUGGAAGGAAAAUGUGGAUGGAGAGAUAUUAGAGAUUUUGGCUCAAUUUAUCACAUCAUGUUAACCUCCACUAAUUGGGCAGAGAAGCAUAAGUAUUAGCUAAUGGUGACAUGGGAAAAAAUUACAAGUAGACGGGCUAGGGAAAGGCCAUUUUUGUGUUUAUGACAAAGAAACGAAGAAUGGGAAGUGAUGUUUGUAAUUGUGAGUUAGAAGCUUUGUACUUGUGAUAAAACCAUGCACUGACAAACCAAUCAUUGUUUUGCAUUUUCUUGCAAAUUUAAUAGCACCUGCUUGCAUCUGGAGACUGCCUAUAGUUUAUCUUAGGCAACAGACGCCCAAGUGAGGUAUUUCUUAAGAAAGUUAUCUAUUUUCAACUAGCA